rnacentral:lncRNA from 1 species
AUUUAAGAUAAAGUCAUGUAUCAAUUACUGGAUUACUUUCAAAUUCUUAGAUUAAUAAUUUGAAACCAAUAAAAUUUAUUUUCAUAGCGCAUAUCUUUGAAAUUCUGUCCGUUAAAGUAUCAUACCUUUUUAACAUCAGCUCAUUUUUAUCGAUCUAAAAAUGUCACAACGUAGGUACAGAGUGUACAUUUACCUCAUACAUAUCAGCUUAAUGUAUAUCACCCUGUAUAAUCAAAUUUUAUGGUAGAAGGUAGAACAUUAAAAUUAAAACUCCACGAAUUCCAGAUAUUUUUAAAAAGGAUUAAGGAAGUAUCUAAUUUAUUACAUAUUUUACGGACACUCUGUAUAAAUUCCUUUUUAAAUAAUAUUCUUGCAUUUCGAUUAUCCCUAAUAUCGUCACUAAAUAUUUGAAUAGGAUUUAUAAAAUGCAGUUAUGUACUUCCCAUUUUUACUAUAGUUACUCGGAAGAGGUAAAAAUUUUAAUGAACAUAUUUUUUUGUUAUGGUAAAAUGUAAAUAUUCGCAUUCCUAGAAGUUAGUCUUUUUGAUAAACAAAUUCUUAAGAAGGUUACAAGAGGCAGUUUAAGUUUAUGGAGGAUUAUAAAAUUGGGAUUCUACCUCGUACCUCCAUACUUGAAUGGUUUUGGACAUAAUGAUAUGAAUUUAACAAUAAAAAUUUACUGUUAAUCUGUACAGUUGAAUGUUUUAUUGUAACUUAUUUCUCAGUAUAAACUUUGCUAAAUCUGUAAGUAUUAAGAAAAUAAUUCCGAUUUUAAGAAAACUAGCACGUUUGUAUUUUACGGGUAGUAGGAAAGAAAUCUAAUAGUUAUUACAAUCUUUUCAGUCUUGAGAAAGAAGUUGAAGUUGCUGUUCGUCCAUUUCUGUUUAGAAACCUAAUUCCAAAUUUUUCGCGUUUUUAAAAUGUUUAAUUACGAUAGUGAUGAUAGUUUUAUGGACACAAAUCUUCCUUCUCCAAGUCCAAGUGAAAAUAGUGAAGUGUCAAAGUCGACUGAAAGCGUUAGCGGCGAUUAUACUCUUGACGAAACUUCGACAUUUCGGAGCAAGUUUACAUGCUUUUUUGAGUUUAAAAUUAUUGACAAAAUAAACAAAUUAGCGACAUGCAAAUUAUGUAACAAACGAAAAAUUAAAAGUGAGUUUAAAGUAAAACUUUCCGUUACAACUACUUUAAAAAGGCACUUAUUAAGUAAACAUCCAAAGGAAUAAGGUACUAUUUUUCCAAAGCUGUCUCAACCUGGAACUAGCAAAGCUGGACCACUUCAUAAUUUCUUAACAAUUAAGAAAUCCGUGAAUGAACCUAAAGAUCAAAACUUUAUCGUUGAUUGGGUGGCCACUAAAUACCUACCUUUUUAGUUUUUUGACGACGAAGCAACAAGGAACUUCUUCGAUCAAAUCAAACCUGGAAUAAACCUGCCUGGACGAAAAGCUUUAAAGAGAAUGGUUGUGUCCCGUUUUGAACAGGAUCAAAAAAAA